UGCAAUAAUGAUGAGCACUACAUGAAUAUAUGCAUGUCAUAAUGAUUCAAUGAGUGCAAUCAACAUAAUAAACUUACCUAAAGUUACCUGCGCAUCUCGUAGGAUUAUUUUAGCAUCUCACCACAAUGCAACAUUUCACAUAACAUAAUUUAAUCAUGGCAUGAAAUGCAUAAAUCAAUUCAAAAUCAUUUGUGGAACUAUCAAUCAUAUAUAUACAUACUAUAAAAAGGAACAGACCCACUCACCUGGAGUCCGUGCUACAACUCCCUAGAACGAAUAUCGAGGUGUCUCGAACAAUCGGCGCCUAGAACAAUUAUCAAAUCACGUCUCAGAAUUCUUAU
rnacentral:lncRNA from 1 species